UAUGCUUUAGCCACAUUGGGCGGCUCAUGCGAGCCGACAAGGGAAAGACGGUGAGAAACCGUCACGGGACCGCCGCUGUAAUCAGGGACGAACGCCGCAAGAUGCCACUGCCGGGAACGGCGGGAAGGCGCGGCAAGUAGAGCGAUCUGAGAGUCAGAACACCUGCCCAGAAAUGCGCUGGACC
rnacentral:ncRNA from 2 species